rnacentral:rRNA from 1 species
UACGGAGGGUGCAAGCGUUGUUCGGAAUUACUGGGCGUAAAGCGUGUCUAGGCGGAUUUGCAAGUCUGGUGUGAAAGACCUUGGCUUAACCAAGGAACUGCGCCUGAAACUACAAGUCUUGAAUUAUGAAGAGGUGAGUGGAAUUCCUAGUGUAGCAGUGAAAUGCGUAGAUAUUAGGAGGAACAUCAGAGGCGAAGGCGGCUCACUGGUCAUUGAUUGACGCUGAAGCGCGAAAGCGCAGGUAGCAAACAGG